AGGGUUCGAUUCUGGCUCAGAACGAACGCUGGCGGCGCGUCUUAAGCAUGCAAGUCGAACGGCAAGAGGUAGCAAUACCUCCUAGAGUGGCGGACUGGUGAGUAACGCGUGGGUGACAUACCCUUCAGAUGGGGAUAGCUAUUAGAAAUAGUAGAUAAUACCGAAUACGAGCACAGGGGUUAGAGAUCUGUGAGGAAAGGAGCUAAGGCUCCGCUGAAGGAAUGGCCUGCGGCCCAUUAGCUAGUUGGUGAGGUAAGAGCCCACCAAGGCGAUGAUGGGUAUCCGGCCUUAGAGGGUGAACGGACACAUUGGGACUGAGAUACGGCCCAGACUCCUACGGGAGGCAGCAGCUAAGAAUAUUCCGCAAUGGACGAAAGUCUGACGGAGCGACGCCGCCGUGGAUGAAGAAGGCCGGAAGGUUGUAAAAUCCUUUUGAAACUGAAGAAUAAGCGUUGUAGGGAAUGACAGCGUGGUGACAGUAGGUUUUGAAUAAGCAACGGCUAAUUACGUGCCAGCCGCCGC
rnacentral:rRNA from 1 species